AGCCCAGAGCCUGAAUCAGUGUGUGUGUUAGUGGAAGCGUCUGGAAAGGCGCGCGAUACAGGGUGACAGCCCCGUACACAAAAAUGCACAUGCUGUGAGCUCGAUGAGUAGGGCGGGACACGUGGUAUCCUGUCUGAAUAUGGGGGGACCAUCCUCCAAGGCUAAAUACUCCUGACUGACCGAUAGUGAACCAGUACCGUGAGGGAAAGGCGAAAAGAACCCCGGCGAGGGGAGUGAAAAAGAACCUGAAACCGUGUACGUACAAGCAGUGGGAGCACGCUUAGGCGUGUGACUGCGUACCUUUUGUAUAAUGGGUCAGCGACUUAUAUUCUGUAGCAAGGUUAACCGAAUAGGGGAGCCGAAGGGAAACCGAGUCUUAACUGGGCGUUAAGUUGCAGGGUAUAGACCCGAAACCCGGUGAUCUAGCCAUGGGCAGGUUGAAGGUUGGGUAACACUAACUGGAGGACCGAACCGACUAAUGUUGAAAAAUUAGCGGAUGACUUGUGGCUGGGGGUGAAAGGCCAAUCAAACCGGGAGAUAGCUGGUUCUCCCCGAAAGCUAUUUAGGUAGCGCCUCGUGAAUUCAUCUCCGGGGGUAGAGCACUGUUUCGGCAAGGGGGUCAUCCCGACUUACCAACCCGAUGCAAACUGCGAAUACCGGAGAAUGUUAUCACGGGAGACACACGGCGGGUGCUAACGUCCGUCGUGAAGAGGGAAACAACCCAGACCGCCAGCUAAGGUCCCAAAGUCAUGGUUAAGUGGGAAACGAUGUGGGAAGGCCCAGACAGCCAGGAUGUUGGCUUAGAAGCAGCCAUCAUUUAAAGAAAGCGUAAUAGCUCACUGGUCGAGUCGGCCUGCGCGGAAGAUGUAACGGGGCUAAACCAUGCACCGAAGCUGCGGCAGCGACGCUUAUGCGUUGUUGGGUAGGGGAGCGUUCUGUAAGCCUGUGAAGGUGUGCUGUGAGGCAUGCUGGAGGUAUCAGAAGUGCGAAUGCUGACAUAAGUAACGAUAAAGCGGGUGAAAAGCCCGCUCGCCGGAAGACCAAGGGUUCCUGUCCAACGUUAAUCGGGGCAGGGUGAGUCGACCCCUAAGGCGAGGCCGAAAGGCGUAGUCGAUGGGAAACAGGUUAAUAUUCCUGUACUUGGUGUUACUGCGAAGGGGGGACGGAGAAGGCUAUGUUGGCCGGGCGACGGUUGUCCCGGUUUAAGCGUGUAGGCUGGUUUUCCAGGCAAAUCCGGAAAAUCAAGGCUGAGGCGUGAUGACGAGGCACUACGGUGCUGAAGCAACAAAUGCCCUGCUUCCAGGAAAAGCCUCUAAGCAUCAGGUAACAUCAAAUCGUACCCCAAACCGACACAGGUGGUCAGGUAGAGAAUACCAAGGCGCUUGAGAGAACUCGGGUGAAGGAACUAGGCAAAAUGGUGCCGUAACUUCGGGAGAAGGCACGCUGAUAUGUAGGUGAAG
rnacentral:rRNA from 1 species